rnacentral:rRNA from 1 species
UACGUAGGGUGCGAGCGUUAAUCGGAAUUACUGGGCGUAAAGCGUGCGCAGGCGGUUUUGUAAGCCAGAUGUGAAAGCCCCGGGCUUAACCUGGGAAUGGCAUUUGGGACUGCAAGGCUUGAGUGCGGCAGAGGAGACUGGAAUUCCUGGUGUAGCAGUGAAAUGCGUAGAUAUCGGGAGGAACACCAGUAGCGAAGGCGACACUCUGGGCCGGUACUGACGCUGAGGAGCGAAAGCGUGGGGGAGCAAACAGG